GGUUCAUCACUCUGAACCUCGUAAUUCCUUGAUUAUUUGGGCAAAAAUAUGUGUCACUGCACAUUCAAGGGGUGUUUGGUUCGCAACUAAAAUUAGAAUAAAAAUAAAAAUCAAAAUAAUCAAAUUUUUUAAAGCAUUUGAUUCGUGAUCGGAAUCGAAAUCGAAAUCGAAAUUAGAAUGAAAAUUUGAAUCCAUAGCGGAG
rnacentral:lncRNA from 1 species